UACGUAGGGUGCAAGCGUUGUCCGGAAUUAUUGGGCGUAAAGAGCUCGUAGGCGGUCUGUCGCGCGGCUGUGAAAAACCCGGAGCUCAACUCCGGGCCUGCAGUCGAUACGGGCAGACUGGAGUGCGGCAGAGGGGGGAUGGAAUUCCGCGUGUAGCAGUGAAAUGCGUAGAUAUGCGGAGGAACACCGAUGGCGAAGGCAAUCCCCUGGCCUGCACUGACGCUCAUGCACGAAAGCGUGGGGAGCAAACAG
rnacentral:rRNA from 1 species